UGAGAGCACAGGUAGUGAUUUGAUCACAGUUGAUGAUGGAAGUCAAGGGCUUCCGAAAAGAAAGGCAUAUUCAGGAAUUGAAUAGGUAGUUAAGAAAAUGCUGUUUGAGAAUAGCAGUUGGAUUUUUGGUCACAGCUUAAAAUAUAGGAAUGAGGUGAUUCUGAACAGAGAGGAAAUGCACAUAACAAGGGGUGGUAAGAUUUUAUUUAUUUGCCUAGAUAUUUAGAGUCUUAGAGUAAAAAUAUAAACAUAGAAAAAACAGUAAAAAUAUAAACAUAGAAGAUUAAACAGCAUAAGAAGAAAACACAAGAAGAAAACAGACAGAGGCUCUCAGACAGAGUUCAGCAGAAGAUUGAGAAGGGAGCAUCACUUCAGUUGAGGAGAAGCACUCUCUCGGAGGGCUCCCAGAUUCAUUUUCAUCUCACACCACUGUGGUGGCUGGACUCCUGCACUUCCCCCACUGAGACCAAGCUGGUCUGAAAGACUCUCCAGAAAGCUAGCCGAGCCCCAAGUGAAGGAGACGAGAUUCAUUCCAUCUUUGUGCUGGCUGGAGGCUGAAGAAAGCAGAGGCAGAGGCUGAAGGACAAACCUUUGGAUUUGGAGACAUUUGGAGGGAGCUCUUGGAACCAAGCAGAGAGAUAGGCCUCUAAGCUAACCGGGCUAUAUUGGAGACAAUAAAAGAUCUGAACUUUUAUCA